GCAUUUAGCCACAGUUCUUAACAGGUAACCAUGUAGUUCAUAACUUUUUUGCAGUUAUAAACAAUGUUGCCGGCAAGAUCCUUGAACAGCACAUUGAGUGUCUGACUCAAAUCUUGACUGGUUUUCUUCAGGAGCAGAGAAUGUGCAGCAAUGCCAGAGAGCAUGGAACCUGGAGGUGGUGGCUGGGGCAGAGAUGCUGCUCCUGUGCUCUUCAUUGAAAAGUCCUCCUGGGCCUGGCUCAUCCCCUUUGACCCAACAGUUUUGAGAAACAGGAGGGGGAGGCCUCAGGGAGCUCAGCAGCCCCGACCAGACAUCUCCACAUCAUCUUCACCACAGACUCUGGAGUCAGAAUCUUUCUGAUGAAGAAACAAGGCCGGAGAGGCUAGGUGACUUGCUCCAACUAAACAGCUUGACCAGCCACUAGGACCAACUUUUUGCUGCCAAGCUUUACUUCCUCCAUGUUUCCAUGAUUGCCAUGACUUCAGGCUGCUGCAAUCCUUUCUGCCGGCUCCACUCACUCAGUGAUAGCUCUUUGCCACUUGCUUCCUGGGAGCUCACACUACCCUCCUUGCAGCCUCAAGAGUGCAAUUCAAGCAUGCUCCUGGAGCCUUUGAGUCAUCUGUUUGUGAAUCAACCUCCAUCCAAUCUAUUCUGAACAUGGAGAUCUCAUCCUCCUCCAGUUUCUGGAACUGGGAGCUGGUGUUUUUCCCUUGUAUUUUCAUUACUGUCUUCCACCUCUCUGGCCCAUAACUGAUAAAAGGUUUGUUCCACAUCGUGACCAGGAAAACAGCUCAGAAAAACUUGCGUCACUAGGGCCCAGUGGGGUGUGCUCCAUCAAACAGGACAUGUGUCACGAGCCUUCUAAGAAUCAGGAGGAAGGAAGUCAUUCAUAAAGGAGGCAGAUGCUGAACUGCAACUCUGGUUUCCUCUUCCAAGUCCUUGGACUGUAGAAACAUUGCUCCAGAGGCCGAAUUUCUCUAAAUGCACCUCCAGAAGCUCCGUCCUUAUCCACAUCAAGACAUAUCCCAAAAGUGGCUGAUUCAGCCUUUCUUCCCCACAAUGGGGGAGGGUACUCCCAAGCCUGGUUUAUAUACCAACCUCGGGACACAGAAGUUUGUAGGGAUGGACAUGACUUCUGAAAGCAUGGUAAGGAAACAUCCAGAAACCUGAGUGCUGCCCAUACUUAGAAAAAGUUGCAAACCGUUUCUUACUCCUAAUGUAGGAAGCUUCAUGUUUAAUGGAUGUUUGAAGGUGAGUAAAAACAAAACAAAAAAACCUGCUUCUAUCAAGAGCAAAUCAAAGCCUUUAUUAAACCUUCCUCCUUCAAAUGGCCUGCAUGAAAAUCUAUUCCCUCCCCCAGACUUGGAACUGCUAGAGCUGGUUGAGUA